GUCGCUGUUUGGAAAAUGGUGUACACUAUCUAGGUAUAUAAUAGUACUGGGACUGGCCAGAACAGCUCAGAAUUAGAUUCCACACUCAGGAUCAUUAAUCAAGUCAUUUUACCUCAAUAGAAUUGUUUGAAAUCCUUUUAGAGCUAGAUUUUAUACUUGUCAUUAUAGUCAUAUUAUGUGCCAUUGACUUUCAGAGACCACAGCAUCCUUAUUUCUUGCUGGAACAACUUUAAACUUCUGGAGUAUAUUCUUCUAGCUACUAUCUUGUUGUAAGCAAAUGGACAAGAAGCUGGAGUUGUCUAGAACACUGUACGCAUCCGGUAAAGUCAAGGACAUCAGUUGCUUGCAGUUCUGUUAUAGUUUAUUUAAACUGGUUGAUGUUUUUUAUGGUGAUAAAUAUGUAUGUUCUGUGUAUUGUAUGCAAAUUUCAUAGUAAAACUAUUAAAUGAAAAAUAAAUAUAAAAUAAAGUA
rnacentral:lncRNA from 1 species